AUCUGCCACGCAAUUUUGCAUGUAGUGCUAUUAUAAAUACUCAUCCAACAAAGCUUUUCAACCCACAACAUUCCUGAUCUCUAAAGCAAUAGAAGUGCAAUAAUAACAAUCUAAAUUUGAUUUUUAUUAUUGCUCAUCUAUAACAAAAUGGCUUCCCUUUUCAACAUGAUUACCCUUGUAUUCCUUGCUCUCCUUUCUUCCCUUUUAAUCCAAGGCACCCUAGGAGAGGUAACAUGUGAGCAACUUAACAAGGAGGCGUGUGCAUUUGCUGUAUCAUCUAUUGGCAAGCGUUGUGUGCUAGAGAAGUAUGUGCGGAGGAUGGUUUGGAGGCAUACAAGUGCACUACAUCCGCCAUCGACACCGAUGAGCUCAAGGACAUGGUUGAAAGCAAUCAUUGUAUUGAAGCUUGUGGCCUAGACCGUGAUACCUUGGGAAUUUCUUCCGACUCUCUUCUUGAAUCUCGUUUACCCGAAAACUUUGCUCCCCACAGUGUUACCAAAAGUGCCCAAAUGUUGUCGAUCUCUACUUCAACCUUGCUGCUGGUGAAGGUGUAUUUCUACCCAAAUUAUGCGAGUCACAAAGUCAGAAUCCAAGGAGAGGAUUGUCCGAAAUAAAGAGCUCAGGAAUAGCAGCACCUGGACCAAUGUCAGGAGUUCAAACUGCACAAUUUUUGGGUGCUCCAAUUAGUUCUCUUGAGUUGGCCGACGCUCCAAUUGGCUCUCCUAUGACUUCCAUGGACUUGGAGAUAGAUAUUUUUGCUCCUGCUGAUGCUCCUGCUGCUGCUGCUCCUGCUGUUGCUGAUGCUCCUGCUUCUGCUGCUCCAGCUAUGCCUCCUUACUAGAUUCACACAUAUCUGAUUUUUCAGCUCAUUUGCGAGGAAAUAAUUAUUAUGUGCUUGGAAUAAGAACAAUAAAUUAGCAGUUAAGGCUAGAAUUCUGUUAUCUUUUGGAGUCUUAAUUAGUUAGGAAGUUACUUAUCAUGAAGUAUCGAUCACAUAAAUAAAUCAUUAUAUUGUACUGUGUUGCGUAACUUGGGUUGGAUUGGUAAAACAUUACCAUCACCAUCUAGCUACUAGCUUAUGGGACAUGUAUUGUUGUAGUAGUUUGUCUUGUGUUUUAGAUGUUUUGCUCGCUCGUGUAUAAUUAAAUUGAUUUUGGGAAAUAAAAUCUAUAUAUAUAUGCUUUGAGUGUGACA